rnacentral:lncRNA from 1 species
AUACAUGAUGGGAAGGCUUAUGAACAGAGAAAGCUAAGAAUUUAAAGAACUGUCAAGUAAUGAUCAGAAAUGAAGAUAAAGCAUCUAUGAAAUCAUAAAGUCAAUGAGAAAUUAUUAUAUUUAUAUUACUCAGCAAUGUACAUUUUAUAGAGAGAUUAUCUGUAACAUUUCCAGCUUCAUUGAAGAUGCAUGUCCUGAAAAUAUCUAAGGUUUAAAAUGCCAACAAUUAAGAAAGGGUUACUUUUCCAGGAGGGAAGCAGUUUGUUAAAAUUAUAAAAAGCAGAUUACUAUCAACAAAUGACACCCUAAAAAGAUCACUGACCAAGAAUUUAAUAUACAUAACACACAACACAAAAUACCAGUUUAUAAACUACAUAUAUUUUACUACAUUAAAGUCCCUCCAGAAAUCUAUUCAUGCAAUGAUCUAACUGAAAUAAAUAUGGUGGAUUAGUCUGUAAUGGAAUAAAAGGAAUUAAAAUAGUAAUAUAGUUCUCCAUGUAGAUAUGCGGGGGACAGAAUUUCCCAGAUUUAUUGACGCCUCUCUGGAGAAAAGCAAACAGUUUACAUUCCUCAUAACACUGAACUGAAGAUAUUAUUUAUAUACUAUCAAAAUAAAAUAUAUUUGUUUUUGAUGCAAUAUUAAGUUUAUAUUAACUGUUAUGUACUUUAUGAUUGGUGUGGUCUUAACAGAGAAUAGGAUGUUUUAAGAUUUUUCUUAAACAUGCAAAGUAAACCACAAAAAAGACAAUCAAAACAGUUUCCUGUACUUGGUUCUGAAGAGAAAAUAUGAAUGAUGAGAUGUGCCACUUGGAGACUGUGAUCACAGUGUAGGCUCACACACAAAAUGCAUACAGAACACAUUCUUACGCAGUAUGAAAAUUGUCUAAAAUUCAAUUUUUUUACCAAUAUGCAGAAACUUACCUGAUACAUUAUUUUUGAUUAGUAGUUUGUCUCUAUUAUUA